GCACCCAUAGAGCAGAAGUUAGCUCAUUCCUUUCACAGCAAUGGCGCAGUGGUUCACGGGAAAGACCUGGGUGCAAAUCCCAGUGGGUGCA